CGGGGCUUAGUGCCGGAGCUAACGCAAUAAGCACUCCGCCUGGGGAGUACGACCGCAAGGUUGAAACUCAAAGGAAUUGACGGGGGCCCGCACAAGCGGUGGAGCAUGUGGUUUAAUUCGAAGCAACGCGAAGAACCUUACCAGGUCUUGACAUCCCGAUGCUAUUCUUAGAGAUAGGAAGUUACUUCGGUACAUCGGAGACAGGUGGUGCAUGGUUGUCGCCAGCUCGUGUCGUGAGAUGUUGGGUUAAGUCCCGCAACGAGCGCAACCCUUAUUGUUAGUUGCCAUCAUUAAGUUGGGCACUCUAGCGAGACUGCCGGUAAUAAACCGGAGGAAGGUGGGGAUGACGUCAAAUCAUCAUGCCCCUUAUGACCUGGGCUACACACGUGCUACAAUGGUCGGUACAACGAGUUGCGAGCCGGUGACGGCAAGCUAAUCUCUGAAAGCCGAUCUCAGUUCGGAUUGGAGGCUGCAACUCGCCUCCAUGAAGUCGGAAUCGCUAGUAAUCGCGGAUCAGCACGCCGCGGUGAAUACGUUCCCGGGCCUUGUACACACCGCCCGUCACACCACGAGAGUUUGUAACACCCGAAGUCGGUGAGGUAACCUUUUAGGGG
rnacentral:rRNA from 1 species